rnacentral:ncRNA from 1 species
UAGGUUUUUCGGUGCUGACGGAUCAGUGGAGUUCACCACAUGUACCGGGAAAUGUCAAUAAGCCGACCGUCUGGGCAAGGAUU